rnacentral:rRNA from 1 species
CCUACGGGGUGCAGCAGUGGGGAAUAUUGCACAAUGGGGGAAACCCUGAUGCAGCGACGCCGCGUGAGUGAAGAAGUAUUUCGGUACGUAAAGCUCUAUCAGCAGGGAAGAAAAUGACGGUACCUGACUAAGAAGCCCCGGCUAACUACGUGCCAGCAGCCGCGGUAAUACGUAGGGGGCAAGCGUUAUCCGGAUUUACGGGGUGUAAAGGGAGCGUAGACGGCAGCGCAAGUCUGGAGUGAAAUCCCAUGGCUUAACCAUGGAACUGCUUUGGAAACUGUGCAGCUAGAGUGCAGGAGAGGUAAGCGGAAUUCCUAGUGUAGCGGUGAAAUGCGUAGAUAUUAGGAGGAACACCAGUGGCGAAGGCGGCUUACUGGACUGUAACUGACGUUGAGGCUCGAAAGCGUGGGGAGCAAACAGGAUUAGAUACCCCAGUAGUC